rnacentral:rRNA from 1 species
ACCUGAAAUAAGCAAGAUUACCCGCUGAACUUAGGCAUAUCAGUAAGCGGAGGAAAAGAAAAUAACAAUGAUUACCUCAGUAGCGGCGAGUGAAGAGGUAAAAGCCCAAGAUGUUAAUCCGUAGUAAGGCUAUGGAAUUGUAAUCUAAAGAAUUUCUCAGAAGGAUGAGGCUUGUCAUAAGUUCUUUGGAACAAGACACCAUAGAGGGUGAAAGUCCCGUCUUUGGAUGAGCUGAACCGUAUGAGAUGUUUCUAAGAGUCGGGUAGUUUGGGAAUGCUGCCCUAAGUGGGAGAUAAACUUCUCCUAAGGCUAAAUAUAAGGUAGGAGACCGAUAGC